rnacentral:sRNA from 1 species
UUCUUUUAAAAUAUUAAUAACUUCAAGAUUAAAUUGUUUAAACUUUGGAAUAUUUGCAAAAAUAUAUUUUUUUCUACCAUUUUGCAACAAUACCUUUUUAUAUUGUCCAUUCUAAAAAAUACCUUUUUUUGAACAAAAUGACCAAAUUACCCUCAUCAAAUGAGAACAUGUAAUUGGAAACUGAAAUUUUCCGUCAAUUUUUUUUUUCGCCAAAAAAAAGGGAGAUUUGCAAAAGUGCCCUUUUUCUGAUAACCUUUUGCAACAAUACCCUUUCCUGAUGUCCAUUUUUAAAACUGCCCCUCCUAAUGUGGAAAAUGACUGUCUUACCCUUAAUGAAUAAUUAGGUUUUCACUUUCAUUUCUCCUAUUGACAAACCUCUUCCUUUUCGCCGACGAAUUCAGUUCUCUCCGACAAACCUCUUCUUCGCCGACAAAUUCAGAUCUCUCCGACAAACGUUUUCUUCGCCGACGAAUUCAAAUCUCUCCGACAAACCUCUUCUUCGCCGACGAAUUCAGAUAUCUCUGACGCCGAAUUCAUUUCUCUCCCGACGACGACUUCAGAUCUAUCGUCGAAUUCAUUCUCUCCGACGACAAACAAUCCCCAGAGAGAUCGAUAGAUCCGACAGAGAAAUCGCCAGAUCCGACGGUAACAUGACUCUCGUUUUUAUAGUGGAUUUUAUAGUCGAUUUUAUAGCCGAUUUUAUAGUAGAUCUGAUGAUGUUUCAAUACAUGUUUCACAGAUGGAUUUAGAGAGUGAAAUCCUUACAUUGCCUGAACAGAUCUACAAAGAAGAUGACGAAUCUAUUGCAAUUGGUACGGUUCAACAACACUCGGAUUGGAGUUUAGUUAAUAAAGUAGAGGAAGCUUUAGGCGAGAGUUUAUUUCAGAAGAUUAGAAGUUUUUUUCUUGGUCCUUUAGUUGAAUUGCGACCAAGAAUGAAGGCAAAUAAAGGAAUCAGAUUUUCUGGGAAAAUCUGCCACUACCUCAUGCAGCAGAGAGUAAAGACUAAAGGAUCAACUCUUUGGUUUAGAGUUGAUUCUCAACCAACCCGUUUCUCCUUGAGAGAGUUCUUCCUCACGACAGGUACUAUGAUUUACAAUCGUUUUUAAAGCAUAACUAAUUAUAAUAGAAUGAUUUACAAGGCAUUUUAAAAAGUGUUUGCAUGGUUUACAAUCGUUUUUAAAGCAUAAGUAAGUGUCAUAGAAUGAUUUACAGUGGAUUUUAAAAAGGGUAUGCAUGAUUUACAAUCGUUAUUAAAGCAUAAGUAAGUGGCAUAGAAUAAUUUACAAGAGAUUUUAAAAGCUUUUU